rnacentral:rRNA from 1 species
AUUGAACGCUGGCGGAAUGCUUUACACAUGCAAGUCGAGCGGCAGCGCGGCCUUCGGGCUGGCGGCGAGCGGCGAACGGGUGAGUAAUGCAUCGGAACAUGCCCAGUCGUGGGGGAUAACACUUCGAAAGAAGUGCUAAUACCGCAUACGUCCUGAGGGGGAAAGCGGGGGAUCGCAAGACCUCGCGCGAUUGGAGUGGCCGAUGUCAGAUUAGCUAGUUGGUGGGGUAAAGGCCUACCAAGGCGACGAUCUGUAGCUGGUCUGAGAGGAUGAUCAGCCACACUGGGACUGAGACACGGCCCAGACUCCAACGGGGGGCAGCGGUGGGGAUUUUGGGAGAAGGGGGGCACCCCUGACCCAGCCAUCCCGGGUGGGGGAAGAGGGCCUUCGGGUUUAAAACCUUUUUGGGAAGGACGGAAGGGGUGGGCUCAAACAUGGUCCUCUAAGGAGGGUACCUAAAGAAGAAGCCCGGGCAAACUAGGGC